UCACACCCUUAAUUAUGUGCAGUAAUUAUCCAGAUCCAGAUUACACAUGCACAGACUAAAUGUACAACUCACACGAAACAUGUUCAUAUUUCACCCUGAAAUCAAUUAAUGUUAUGAAAAGAAUUUAAAUAUUCAUGCUUUUCAUAAAAUAUAUUUUUAUUAAAAUUAUUAUGUUUAAAUUGUGACAUUAUCUAUCUAUCUAUCUAUCUAUCUAUCUAUCUAUCUGUCUGUCAUAUUUUUUUUAUGUAAGUCAAUGGCUCAAAUGAACUGUUUGAUUACAGACAUUCUUCAAAAUAUCUUCUUUUGUGUUUAGUAGAUGAAAGUAGAUGAAAAGGUUUGGAACAACCGGAGUGUGAGCAAAUCAUGACAGAAUUUUCAUUUUUAGGUGAACUGUCCCAUCAGGUUUUCUGGGAUUUGCCCAAACACUCACAAUGAUUCAGUCCUCAGUUCAUGUGGUUUCAUCAGUUUCAGCCCUUUCUGUCAUGUUGUGUCUUGUUUUAUAUCAUAGAGAUAUUUUAAAUGAGUUUUAGGCUUAAUUUGAGAAGGCUUUUUUCUUUGCAGGUGACGAUGAGAGGCAGCUGGAGAUAGACAGGGAAAGAGAGCAGAUAGAGAAAGAGACAGAAGAGGACAGAGAGCCCAGGAUGCCUGAUGAAAGAGAGCAAGAGAGAGCAGCACUUGAGCGAGAGGCAGCCAGAGAUCUGACAACAUCAGUCUCUUUAGAUCUGGCACAGAUCACUGGCGUAUCAAGCCAGGAGGCUGUCCUGCUGCCUGAGGAGGAUCUGGGGCUGCCCAUGGAAAUGCCUGUGUUAGAAGAACGAGAAAAGACCCCGGUAUCUGUGUCUAUACCCAUACCGUCCCCUCCGCCCGGUGAAGAGGAGAAAAAGGCUGUUGAACCCAGAGAAGAGAGGGCAGUGAGAGAGUGGAGCCCUGAUCUUGAGGUGUGUUACGUUUUGAGGUCUGUCUUCAUCUUGCAUCGAAGCGUUUGACAUCAAGCCCCAUGUGUCCCUUUGUCAGCCUGCUGUAGCGAGGCCUGAAUCCCCUACAGAGCGGAGGAAGAGGAGGAGACAGCUGUUCUUCAUUGAUGAAAACACACAGAUCUCUCAAGAGGAAAUGAGGGCCCGGAUUGAUGACGUUGAGACAGAGACCAGGCCAUUGGUAAAUCUAGAAUGAUUCGCUUACUUCAAGUCAGCGUUAUGUUGAGUAUAAAAGCAAAAUGGUGUAAAUCAUGUUUUUCUUCUAGGCAUCACUUGUCAAACCACCGUUUGAGAAGAAGGGUGCUAAGGAACUACUGGAGAACCCUUGCAUGAGUAAGUUGAUCAUAAUGAAAAAUAAACCUGCAAUAUAUAUACA
ensembl:lncRNA